CAGAGAGCCCAUGGGUUCAGGUGGGGAAGCAGAUGAAUGUCCCCAAAAGCCUUCCUCAUUCAUUUUGGACUCACUGACUGCAAGCAGCUUAAAGUCCUUGCAAAGAAAGAAGUUGUGCCCUGUCUCUCAGCAUUGACCACAGCAGAGAGCCUAGGAUGUGAAUGGGUGUCAAUAUUCAUCUGCUGAAUGAAUAGCUGCAGAUGAAGAGAUUGCUUCGCUUCAAACCUCCUGACUGCCAUGGAACCAUCUGGCACGUGCACGUGUGUGGCGAGGUGAGACACCAGCUAACACUAAAGUCUUCAGCUGGUCAUAACCUUGAAGCAUAUUCCCAUUCAGGAAAAUCUUCUCUUAGGAACGAGAAUGAGGAAAAACAAAGAUGGUGAAGGACUGAAAAAAACUUCUUUAUUUUAGAACGUCUUAAAAACAUGUAAAGGAGAAGGGGAAAAUGACCCAGAGUACCGUUACCUAAAGGCAAUUAUUAUGAGUAUUUUAGUUUAUAUCCUUCUAAUCUGAUUGUUUUCUGUAUAUUUUAUUUUAUAAAAUAGUUGCACUUGCAUUCUUUCUAAAAUGGUGUGUGUAUGUGUGUGCACAUGCGCGUGUAUUGGCUGUUUGUUUUUACUUAGUGCUAUUCAUCAGAAGUGAUAUAGCAAAAUGGUCAUGAAUGUAUAAAUGUGAAGGCAGUGUGUGGGUUCAAAUCCUGAGUUCCCCAUCUUUGCAAACUUGGGAAUGUGAUUCAGUUUCUUUAAAUCUCUUUUCUCUCCCCAGAUAUGAGUAUAACAAUUAUAUGCACUUCAGCGAGCUGUUAGAAAAAUCCAAUGAGUAAGUAUGUUAAGCAAUCACAUAUUAUGUAUACCUGACGUAUAGCAGAUGCUCAAUAA
rnacentral:lncRNA from 1 species